UCAAACGUGGUAAUCGUGAGAAAUCUUUUGGCUGUCGGUAGGUGGCUAAAAUGGAUUGUCCCCCAUCCACCAGGUGACGCGAGUGUCUUCGUGAGGACGAAAUAUUUGCCAUUUGUUUCCGAGACUCUGACUGAAAGUGUAUUCCAAAUUCAUACGGAAUUGCGGUGUAUUCCAAAUUCAUACGGAAUUGCGGUGUCGAUCUACAUUUUCAGCCAUGAAAUGUAAUUGGCAAUCUGGCAUAUAAUUUCACUUGCCCAAAUAAUGUAACGACGUGGGUCGAAACUGCUGUCACAUUUUGCCGAAAUGUCGGCCAUUGUUAUAGCCGUACCUAUACGGCUGUACGUCUCAUCUCGUCACUUCAGAGCUAGUAAAGUUAAAGACGGAGAUCCCUUUGCCCAACUGAUGCAGAAAUUGAGAACACGACAAAGUCUAAGCUUCAUGGCUGUUGUAGCAUCAAUGUGGUUUUGUUGCAGCCAGCUAGUGGGAAAGGUAUGAUGGAGUCAAAUUGAGCUGCAGCUGCUGCAUGCAGUUUAUUGUGCUGUUGUUAUCCCCUAUUGUCACAACAGAAAGACUUCUUGAAUUGCAACCCCUUUUAGGUGGCUGUAUGAUGUCCACCAGGUAGCGCGAGUGUCUUCAGGGACGCUUAGCGGCCGUUUUGAUCCAAGACGCAGCAGAAGUUGGUUGUGACGUUUCUCAGGAUGAAAAUUAAAAGGUCAUUUAACACGUAGAAACCAAUUUGCCAAAUCAUUCAACUCAGACUUGGGAAGUGCCUGUUACAUUUCCGAAAUGGCGUGCCUCGUGUGUCUCGCUGCCUGUUCUUUGGCUUACGUCUCACCCCAUUCAACAGGAAAAAGUAAAGUAAAUGCUGGUGGUUACCUUGUUGCCGCCAAAUGGUGAAAGAUGUGACAAAGACAGAUUGAACCGUUGUAUGCAGCAUGCAGUUGCAGUGUAAUCUAGAAGUUGCUGUGCUGUUGUAGCUGAGCUGUGGCAUCUGGGUUCCUGACUUAAACAUUUUUGUGUUUGUGUUUUCAUCCAUGCCAUAUGAAAUUGCUCUGCCAUUGAUAUUUUGUGUUGCUGCGUUAAAAGUUUGAUCUGUUGUCUUUUGAGUUUCAUUCAAUCAUGCAGUAUACGACUGAGGCAACCUGAUCAAUGUCAGGUUUGAAACAGUUGAGAACUGCUAGAUAAAACAAGCUUUCUGCACCAAGCAAAUAAUAACUUGCAUAUAACUUGCAUCAUGUUAUUAUCGCGGUAGAGAAAGCGACAGGCCCCCCCCCCUGGGGGCCACAGGAAAAAUGUAUAUGUAUAU
rnacentral:lncRNA from 1 species